CGUAACAGUGCACAGGGAAACCACAGAUGCCUGGAACAUGUAUUUGCUGUGCAGACAGCAUAGUGCAGAUCUCAGAUAAUUUUCUUCUUAAACUGCAACCACCCACAGGCUUCUAAAACUCCAGCUGGCAAGCAAUCCUGAGGAGAACAGAUUCUAUCCCAGCAGGGGCCACAGGGAUGCAACGGGAGAGAGUAAAAGAAGCUCAUUCUGUUGAUUAAAUUUAGUUGAUUUAGCUGCUUGUCUUCUCCAGGGUGACGGAGCUUAGAGAUUAUCAACCUUUAAAUUGGGAGGUCUUUAUUGAGAUGCUUCCCUUUUGUUACAGACGGCUUUUUAUUUCUUACAGCUGCACAAAAUAAGAUAGCUUUCAGCCUCUGGUUGACGUGCUGAUUCUUUGAUACCUCUUUCAAACUCGCUCACAGCUCAGUCCAGUGAGCUGCACGCCAACUUACAAAGAGGAUGAGGUCCACGCCACACUUCUUUGGGAGGGACCCGAGAGUCAUCAGCAUUGCCAUAAACAUCUAAGUGGGCCAACAGCAAAAGGAAACCACUACUGACCGACCAGCACACAUCCACCUUACUUCAAAACCAGGAACCUACGUCAGGAUCUUGUUUGUGAACUUCAGCUCUGCUUUCAACACCAUCAUCCCGGCCCUGUUGCAGGACAAGCUCUUCUAGCUGAGCGUGGCUGACUCCACCUGCAGGUGAAUCACGGACUUCCUGACAGACAGGAAGCAGUAUGUGAAGCUGGGAAAACACGUAUUUGAUUCCAGAAUCAUCAGCAAUCCCUCAAGGCAGUGUUUCCUCCCCUUGCUCUUCUCCCUGUACACCAACAGCUGCACCUCCAGUCACCAGUCCGUCAAGUUCCUGAAGACUGCGGAUGACACCACCCUCACUGGGCUCAUCUCUGGGAGCGAUGAGUCUGCCUAUAGGAGGAAGAUUGACCAUCUCGUGACCUGGUGCAAGCAGAACAGUCUGGAGCUCAAUCCUCUAAUAACAGUGGAGAUGAUCAUGGACUUCAGAAAGAGCACAGCCCCACCCACCCCCAUCAUCCUGUGUGACUUUCCAGUCGCCAUUGUGGACUCUUUUCAUUUCCUGGGCACAAUCAUCGCUGAGGAUCUCAAGUGGGAGCUGAACAUCACCUCUCUCACCAAGGAGGCUCAGCAAAGGAUGUACUUCCUGCAACAGCUGAAGAAGUUCAGCCUGCCAAGACAAUAAUGGUGCAUUUUUACUUCGCAAUCACUGAGUCCAUCCACACCUCCUCCAUCUCCAUCUGAUACGCUGCUACCACCAUCAGGGACAAGGGCAGGCUGCAGCGUAGCAUUCACUCUGCAGAGAGGGUGAUUGGCUCUAAUCUAACUCUCUUCAGGAACUGCAUGCUUCCAGGACUCGGAGGGAAGGAGGAAAGAUUACAGCUGACCCCUCCCACCCUGGACACAAACUGUUUCAGACUCUCCCCUCUGGCAGGAGGCUGCAGUCCAUCAGGAUCAAAACCUCUCGCCACAAAAAACGCUUCUUCCCAUCUGCAGCUAGCCUGAUUAACAAGGCAUUGGUCCCCCACUGACACUUCCCCCUUCCAAAUAGUAUGAAUAUCUCAGCACAUGUAAAUACACAACUAGUUUUUGUUUUUAACGACAUAUUUCUAAAUGUAUGUCAGCUGUAUGUUUUUCCUCGUACAUUUGAAACACUACUUGGCAAUAAA